rnacentral:lncRNA from 1 species
GAAGGAGAGAGAGAUGCGGUAGCGGCGGCGGUGGACUUCCCAUCGCUUCAGUGCAUCCCUCUAGAUCGGAUUAGGGUUAGAGAGUGGGGAACCAGUAGCGGCGGCGAACCUCGUAACCCGUGCCAUGGUCCACACCUCCUCUAUAUAUAGCACUGCGCGACAGGGGCCCACCAGCCUUGCUUGGGCUGGACGCCCCCGAUCAGGGCGUGAGUCAAGGUCCAAUGGGCCGUUGGACCCAUUGAGAAAGAGAUCAAUCUAACAUUCUCCCCCUUGAUCUCAUCAUAUACUUUUAACUUCACCCGUUUCGUAACAGAUCAAUACAUAGGGCAUGUUUCAUCGUCACGGCUCAAUUGCCGAUGGAAUCAGACAGCCACAAUGUACCUCUCUAUUUUGAGACAGAUUCUUUAACCUUGGGUCCUUUAUUGUUCGGAAAUAUUAGACUAUACCAUAAAACCCAUGUCGACUAUGUGUUCUCCGAACACACUGGGCGGUAAGCCUUUGAUAAGCAGAUCUGCAAACACUUGUUUGUUGCUUUUAUGCUUCAAGCAUUUUUCGAUAAUUCCGGACGUUCUCCUUCACAACACGUAACUCUUUGUCAGUGUGUUUGGCAUCAACACUUGACUCAUUGUGACAGGAGCGAAAGAACUUAAAAUGGUAAUCGUCGUUGUCAACCAUUAUCCACUCCGGGUACAGGUAGCCUUAACCAUGUCGCCCGUCCCUCAGCCUUAUAUCAAGCUAUAACAUAUCAUUGCAUCACAUUGAUGACAAUCGUUUUACUCAUUCGGAGAUUUUCCACACAAAACUCCGAGUAUGAAAGUUAGCGACAAUUGUGGAUUUCGCUAUACAUUUCACAAGUCCUGCCUUUGUACUCACAAUCUUUUGAGAGCACUUAUUUCUUUUAGCAUGAGGCCGAUAUCUUUGACUCCAUUCCAUUGAUUUAUCUAUGGACUGGACAUUGCCAAAACAACCCGGAUAUAUACGUGAACUGUGUCAGGGUAACAU